rnacentral:rRNA from 1 species
GACAGAGGGUGCAAACGUUGCUCGGAAUCACUGGGCGUAAAGGGCGCGUAGGCGGAGAUGUAAGUCGGGCGUGAAAUCCCCAGGCUCAACCUGGGAACUGCACUCGAAACUGCGUUUCUUGAGUAUCGGAGAGGAAAGCGGAAUUCCUGGUGUAGAGGUGAAAUUCGUAGAUAUCAGGAGGAACACCAGUGGCGAAGGCGGCUUUCUGGACGAUAACUGACGCUGAGGCGCGAAAGCGUGGGGAGCAAACAGGG